UACGUAGGGUGCAAGCGUUGUCCGGAAUUAUUGGGCGUAAAGGGCUCGUAGGCGGUUUGUCGCGUCGGGAGUGAAAACUCAGGGCUUAACCCUGAGCCUGCUUCCGAUACGGGCAGACUAGAGGUAUGCAGGGGAGAACGGAAUUCCUGGUGUAGCGGUGAAAUGCGCAGAUAUCAGGAGGAACACCGGUGGCGAAGGCGAUUCUCUGGGCAUUACCUGACGCUGAGGAGCGAAAGUGUGGGGAGCGAACAGG
rnacentral:rRNA from 1 species